GCGCCGGUUACUCUCUUUUGCACACGAUCUUUUAUUUCCCAUUCAAUGGAUUACAGUGGGAGAUAAACAGAUCGGCCUCGCUCUUUUAGACUCUCCGCCUUCCCAAUCAUGUUUGUUCCCAUUCCCUCACCCCAUCUCCUUGAUCUCCUUCACAACCAAGCCCGCCUAUUUCUGCAGGUCUCCUGUUUGCUGGGGUUAAAUUCAGCAAUCACCAAGAUCGACGCGAUUGCGCGAUGUCGUCCUCACUGUCCGCUGUUGUUCAUCAUCGAAGCUGCUGCCCACCUCGCGACGAAUGUUGUCGCCACCAUCAUCUACCCAUGAGGAUCCGAGCCACUGCACAAGGCAAAUAGUUACUGGGGCUUGCAAGGUUAACUGCUCGAUCCAUGGAUACAAUUUAGCAUCUAUAAUGAAAUCACAAGACUUGGAGCAGAGUAAGGAGAUUACAACAGUCGAUGUAUAAUUGUUGUGCAUAUACUCAGGGUGUUCCUUAAUUAGAAGUUUAUUUCAACAUCUUUGUUAAAUAUUCUAGCAUGAUCAUUUACCAUGGGACAAAGUAUUAUGGUAAGCACAUUAGCCUAUGGUGAUGUUGAUGCAAACUGACACAAAGCUAUUGCUAAGAUGAUGCACAGUAACAUUUGUUCUUUUCUUUUUGUACCUCUAGAUAUUCGAUUUACAAUUUGCUGCAGAAUUACAAGCUAGAGCUAUCUCUCAAAUUUUAUAAGGGUGAUUUCAUCGAAGGAUGUAAUGUCAGACAACCUAUAAUCUUAAAUUUUUGGAUAAUGUUUUGAAGACAAUUAUCACUCAAGUAUGAUGUUAUUUAUACAUCUAGCACUUUGGGUUCGCUCAAGCUGUCAA